AAAUAGUUAGGUAACUUUCUGAAAAAUUGCCUGCACAUAAUUAAGAAAAGGGGGCCAAAUUCUGUAACUUUUUACCCCAAUUUCGGCGAUCGAGUGCGAAAUCCACAAGAUCUCCGUCUUCAAAGCUUUGAUCUUCCCCCAUCAGGAUUUGAGUUGUGCUUGCGUUUUUGCUCAACGUUUAAGAGGUCAAAAUGUCAACUUGCAAGCAGUUCUCCCGAAUCGAUACCGCUGAGCUGAAAUCUCAGCUGUUUAGGAAGCUCGGCCGCCAACGAGCUGAGAAGUACUUUUAUAACCUCAAGAGAUUACUCAACUUGAGACUCAGCAAGUUGGAGUUUGAGAAAUUGUGUUAUAGUAUUAUUGGGAAAGAAAACAUUGCCCUCCAUAAUUUGUUCAUCAGAUCGAUCCUCAGCAAUGUUUGUCUCGCACUUGCUCCGCCUAGUAGAGAGACACUCACAGGAAAUUCGCGUACAUCAAAACUUUCCAGCAUUGGUGAAACCGUUCCUCCAUCACCUCGAAGGGGAAGAUCAUCCAUAAGCAGUAGGGAUAGAAGAUUAGCCGAGCGAUCUAGCCUACUCGGGCCUUAUGGAAAAAUUCCUCCAGGACAUGUUCAAGAAGUCACUAAUUCUUGUGAUUUACAGAGGUCGAGAGAGCAGCAAAGUGCCCUAGAGUUGAUAUCUAUUGGCAGCAAAGCACUAACAUCUGUGGAGGAUGGGGAAGAGGUUGAUCAAUAUCGAUGUAGCCCGAGUGUCCAGAGUAGAAGUCCUCUGAGGCCUCCGCUAGGCAUUCUAGCAACUGCUGGUGAUCGUUCUUGUAAAUCUUUUUCUGGUGGCUUCUCGUCGAGCUUUCGAGGUGUGCAGUCAAAUAAACUCAAUAGCUGUCAUCAUACUUCUGAACUACCAGAUUCGAGGGCCUUGAGGGUUUGGUUGGAGAGGAAGUUGGAGGUUGGAGGCCUUGGGUUGUCAGUUGAUUGUGCCAAUGCGUUAAAUCACGGGAUGGAUGCAUUCCUGAGAAGGUUGAUCAGACCUUGCAUGAACCUUGCUAGGGCUAGGCGUAGUUCGAAUAGGAUAUAUCGUGCACACGGAAGUAUUUUGCCUAACAUGAAAGGUUUUUGGCAAUUGGAUCCAGCACAAACAUCAAACGGGUGCUAUUAUGCUUCAUCGCAUGAUUUCCGAUUAGCAAUGGAAAUGAAUCCUGAUUUACUUGGAGGUGAUCGGCCCCUACAGCUUGAGAAAAUCUGCUUUCAUUUUUCAGAAGAUUGAAAUCUGACCUGUGUAUGGUCUUAGUUACGUUCUCAUGGUGAUUCCUGGAGAAUACAAUUUGAGGAUCCAAUUCCUCUUUAAACUUUGUGAAGCAAUAAUAUGCGUCUAUUAUAUUUCCAAGAAUGAAAAAGAGAAAUUCAAGGCGUCUGAAUUAUUUAUACACCAAGCUUCAUGGAAUAUGGCAUAAAGGAUAAUGGCAUACACCUACAACUUCACAGUUGAAUUCUAUAGUUUGGUGUUGGAUGAAGUCUUCAUGGAAUAGAAACAUGCAGAGGUUAUAACUUUCAUAUAAAUAUUUAGUCCCCUUUUGCGAUCGGUUGCUAGUGACCAUUCAAGAUUUAAAGAAGCAAAUUUGAUGGCUCUUCACAUGGAUUUUGCAUAUAGGGACUAGACUGAAGGCACCUCUGCGUUCUGACUACUUGGAUAAAAAAAUAUGAAAAAGAAGAAAAGAUACAAAUUUACUCGUGGAACUUCAUCAUUUAUGUAUAUUGGGUCGACUUCAUGGUGCUCUACCAUAUACAUCCUUUAGGGUCUGACUACUUGGAUAAAAAAAAUAUGAAAAGAAGAUAAGAUACAAAUUUACUUGUGGAACUUCAUCAUUUAUGUAUAUUGGGUCGACUUCAUGGUGCUCUACCAUAUACUUCUUCUUAGGAACCUGGAAAGCUUUGCUUAUCCAUUUUAUCCUUCUGACAAUUUUGGUUGGCUAUUUCAUGUCAUAUGAAUCUAUGUGAUUGCCCUAA